GGCAAUCGCCGUGACCUCUGUUCUAUCUCUCCUCCGGUAGCUGCCCAGUUAGCAACCAGCUGCUCGGGGGACUGCGAGCCAACGGAGACUCUCUGGAAGUGACGCUGGCCUUCAACCUGAUCCGCUUCUUGGCCAGAGAUACACUCUACCUGCACGGCCGAGUGACCCUAUGCGACAAACGAGCAGGACAUCCGUGCCAGCCGACCUGUAGCCAGAAGAGUUCGCCUGCGAAAAAUCGGCCUUGGGAGAUUCGAGGCAGCAAGGACUUGGAGAGUCAAUCUGUCUGGAUAGAGUUCGGGCCCAUCCGAAUAAGCGAGUCCAAUGCCUCCAGCAACAGGAGUUCAACAGGAGUCUGGAUCACCAUCUCUCUUCUGAUGUUGAUAGGCUGGAUACUAGGAUAAAGUUCUGCUUAUGUACUUUCUCUAGACUCUAGUCCUUGGCCUCUAGUUUAGUUGCUUGAUGGAAA